GUUUGCACUUGUCGGGGAAGGGUGAGAACCUUCGAUUAAGGUUCGGCUCGAGCGAAAGCGAGAGAACGUUGCCAACGGCAACGGCCCGUAGGG
rnacentral:sRNA from 1 species